rnacentral:rRNA from 1 species
UCAAGCUAGAAAGGGCACACGGUGGAUGCCUAGGCGUCGAGAGGCGAAGAAGGACGUGGAUAGCUGCGAAAAGCUCCGGGUAGCUGCGAACAAGCGUUGAACCGGAGAUCUCCGAAUCGGGCAACCGAAUGCGGUCAUACGCAUUAGUGCAGGACUGAAUUCAUAGGUUCUGUGCGGCCAACCCAGGGAACUGAAACAUCUAAGUACCUGGCGGAAAGGACAUCAAAAGAGACUCCCCUAGUAGCGGCGAGCGAACGGGGACCAGCCUAAACCUUAUCAGUGUAAGCCUGGUGGCGUUGCUGACAGGGUGUUGUGGGUCUGAUGAUGGAGUGCACCAGCGCUCUGACAGAGUUAACAAAUGUAUGGUUAGUAGAACAGCUUGGAACGGCUGGCCAAAGAGGGUGACAGCCCCGUAAACGAAAACGAUACAUCUCUGCAUUGGCACCCGAGUAGCGCAGGGCACGUGGAACCCGGCGUGAAUCUGGGAGGACCAUCUUCCAAGGCUAAGUACUCCUCGACGACCGAUAGUGAACAAGUACCGUGAGGGAAAGGUGAAAAGCACCCCGGCAAGGGGAGUGAAAUAGUACCUGAAACCGUGUGUCUACAAGCAGUUGAAGCACUAUGUCUUCGGACAGUGCGACAGCGUACCUUUUGCAUCAUGGGCCUGCGAGUUACGCUAUGUCGCAAGGUUAAGCCGUGAGGUGUAGCCGAAGGGAAACCGAGUCCAAAUAGGGCGAUUGAGUGGCAUGGCGUAGACCCGAACCCGAGCGAUCUAUCCAUGGGCAGGCUGAAGCGUGGGUAAAACCACGUGGAGGGCCGAACUCACCACAGUUGAAAAUGUGGGAGAUGACCUGUGGAUCGGAGUGAAAGGCUAAUCAAGCUCGGAAAUAGCUGGUUCUCCGCGAAAUAUAUUGAGGUAUAGCCUCGGACGAAUUGCACCGGAGGUAGAGCACUGAAUGGGCUAGGGGUCUUACCAGACUACCAAACCCAAUCAAACUCCGAAUGCCGGUGACAAGUAUCCGGGAGGCAGACUGCGGGUGAUAAGGUCCGUAGUCGAGAGGGAAAGAGCCCAGAUCUACAGCUAAGGUCCCCAAAUCCAGUCUAAGUGUCGAAGGAUGUGGGAGCGCUCAGACAGCCAGGAGGUUGGCUUAGAAGCAGCCACCCUUUAAAGAAAGCGUAAUAGCUCACUGGUCGAGCGAGCCUGCGCCGAAAAUGUAACGGGGCUAAAGUCUGGUACCGAAGCUUAGGGUUCUACGCAAGUAGAGCGGUAGCGGAGUAUUGUCAGGUAGAUACAAGCCAUACCGUAAGGAGUGGUGUCGGACCUGAGAAGAGCAAAUGCAGGCAUGAGUAGCGAUAAACAGGAUGAGAAGUCCUGUCGCCGUAAGCCCAAGGUUUCCUGGGGAAGGAUAAUCCUCCCAUGGGUUAGUCGGUUCCUAAGCUGAGCCCGAAAGGGGUAGGUGAUGGCAAGCAGGUUAAUAUUCCUGCACCACUAUAUGUACGUUGACCUGAGCAGGGACGGAGAAGGGUAGGCUGAGCCAGCCGUUUGGUUGUGCUGGUUCAAGCGCGUAGGCGGUUCCCGUAGGACCCAAUAGGGACAAACGCGGGAGCAACGCCGAGACGUGAUGAGGAGGAGCUCCGGCUCCGUAACUCAGUGAUCCCAUGCUUCCAAGAAAAGCUGCGCAGUGAGUGCAUGUAGUGACCGUACCGCAAACCGACUCAGGUGGGCGGGGUGAAUAUCCCAAGGCGCGUGGGAGAACACUGGCUAAGGAACUCGGCAAAUUGACACCGUAACUUCGGGAGAAGGUGUGCCCCCAUUACGUGAAAGUCCUGCGACUGUAGCGGAAGGGGGUUGCAGAGAAAUGAGGGUUGCGACUGUUUACCAAAAACACAGGACUCUGCGAACUCGUAAGAGGACGUAUAGGGUCUGACGCCUGCCCGGUGCUGGAAGGUUAAGGGGAGAUGUUAGUCUUCGGGCGAAGCUUCGAACCGAAGCCCCAGUAAACGGCGGCCGUAACUAUAACGGUCCUAAGGUAGCGAAAUUCCUUGUCGGGUAAGUUCCGACCUGCACGAAUGGCGUAACGACAUCCCUACUGUCUCGGCCAGUGACCCAGCGAAAUUGUAUUGGGGGUGAAGAUACCCUCUACCCGCGGCAAGACGGAAAGACCCCGUGAACCUUUACUGCAACUUGGCAGUGAAGCUCGGGACAUUCUGCGUAGGAUAGGUGGGAGACUUUGAAACCGGGGUUCCGGCUUCGGUGGAGUCAACCUUGAAAUACCACCCUGAAUGUUCUGGGCUUCUAACCCAGCACCGUUAUCCGGUGCGGGGACACUGUCUGGUGGGCAGUUUGACUGGGGCGGUCGCCUCCCAAAAAGUAACGGAGGCGCGCG